AUGGAAAGGAUGAGCCUUUCCCCAGAUGAUCGACACUGAUUAUACUGAGCUUUUUAUCAAAUUUUCUCUUUGGAGAAAAUGCAAGCCAGGAAUCUGAUCCAU
rnacentral:snoRNA from 1 species